CUGUUCCUUUGAAAGAUUAUGCUUCUCAUUGCUGAAUUUAGAUAAGGCACCAGGCCCGGAUGGAUUCCCAACCUCUUUCUUCAAUAAGAAGAAAUAUUUGAAAUGAAACGAAUUCCUCUUCAUUCUAUUGUGCUCAGUGAAGUAACUGCCUAAGCAUACUUUUUCGGAUCCCCAACUAGCUUUCUAAACCCGUUAAAUAGGAGGUUGAUGAAAUGAACCUACC
rnacentral:lncRNA from 1 species